rnacentral:rRNA from 1 species
GGGGGAAAAAUUUAUUGCUAUUAGAUGAGCCUAUAUUAGAUUAGCUAGUUGGUGGAGUAAUAGCCUACCAAGGCAAUGAUCUAUAGCUGAUCUGAGAGGAUGAUCAGCCACACAGGAACUGAGAUACGGUCCAGACUCCUACGGGAGGCAGCAGUGGGGAAUAUUGGACAAUGGGCGAAAGCCUGAUCCAGCUAUGCCGCAUGAGUGAAGAAGGCCUUUGGGUUGUAAAGCUCUUUUAGUGAAGAAGAUAAUGACGGUACUCACAGAAGAAGUCCUGGCUAACUCCGUGCCAGCAGCCGCGGUAAUACGGAGAGGGCUAGCGUUAUUCGGAAUUAUUGGGCGUAAAGGGCGCGUAGGCUGAUUAAUAAGUUAAAAGUGAAAUCCCGAGGCUUAACCUUGGAAUUGCUUUUAAAACUAUUAAUCUAGAGAUUGGAAGAGGAUAGAGGAAUUCCUGAUGUAGAGGUAAAAUUCGUAAAUAUUAGGAGGAACACCAGUGGCGAAGGCGUCUAUCUGGUUCAAAUCUGACGCUGAGGCGCGAAGGCGUGGGGAGCAAACAGGAUUAGAUACCCUGGUAGUCCACGCUAUAAACGAUGAAUGUUAAAUAUGGGGAGUUUACUUUCUGUAUUACAGCUAA